AUCGCUUCUCGGCCUUUUGGCUAAGAUCAAGUGAAGAAACAGAACCUAGCUCAGAUGUAAUAACAUUGCUUUGUUUUCAUUUUAAUUUACUACAUGGCUUACUUCUAUCUCUGAAAAAUGACACUGAUUUUUCACUUUCAGUGCUAAUAAAACUUCA
rnacentral:snRNA from 1 species